AUACAGAUGACGAGCCCCAAACGGGACGAAAUGCGUAUCCUGGAU
rnacentral:hammerhead_ribozyme from 1 species